rnacentral:rRNA from 1 species
AUUGAACGCUGGCGGCAGGCCUAACACAUGCAAGUCGAGCGAGCGGCGGACGGGUGAGUAAUGUAUGGGGGCUGCCCGUUAGAGGGGGGUAACUACAGGAAACGAUAGAUAAUACCGCAUACUAUCGGAUAACCCAUAUGGGAUUAGCUAGUAGGUGAGGUAAUGGCUCACCUAGGCGACUAUCCCUAGCUGGUCUGAGAGGAGAAUCAGCCACACUGGGACUGAGACACGGCCCAGACUACUACGGAGGCAGACGUGGGGAAUAUUGCACAAUGGGCACAAGCCUGAUGCAGCCAUGCCGGGUGUAUGAAGAAGGCCCUAGGGUUGUAAAGUACUUUCAGUCGGAGGGAGUUACCGACAGAAGAGGCACCGGCUAACUCCGUGCCAGCAGCCGCGGUAAUUC